GCGAAAAUCCACUUUGAUACCAAUACGGGUGACACGAAAUGGACAACGACGUUGUUGAAAUCUGUACCCCUGGAAAUUAAUUCCGAGUCGGAGAAGAUCCGGAGGUUGUACGCCAGAUCCGCUCCAGCCGGAGGAUCCAGACGGUCAGAUUUCGAUCUGGAUCAGAUGAAAACACGGUCAAAUCUCUUUCUUCCGAUGAAAACGCGUGCACAUCCCGAAGCCAUGAAACUUCGGAAAGAAGUUGAGAAGAUCAUACAAAGUGUACAAGAGGACGGGGAGGAUUAUGACGAUGAUAGAUUCAAACAGUCUGGUGAGGAAGCGAGUACGACCAAGGUGACGCACGCGCGUCCGUCCCUGGCCCCCCACAUGACGCGGGACAGCGUGGUCAGCAGUGACAGUACGUUCGGAAGGCCUCGCCUCAAGCUGACGGCGGACAAGUUCAGUAGUUACGAACAGCUCCAAAAGACGAAACCGCCAAAACCAAUGAUUCCAGACAUUCUAAAAUCGCGCUUCCUCAGUACCGAGAAGAACCAGAGCAUAUGGGAAUGGCUCCACCACGGGGAGGAAAUGACAGAGUUCGAAUUCUUCCUAUCGGUCUGUGGAUAAUAUGUGUCGUAUGGACCUUUUGGGAGUGGCUCAUAACCUUGAAUGAAAAAAAUGGGGAAAACUUUUGAGAGAUAUAUGCUGUAUAUGUGUGUUACCAUAUGAUAUACCGGUUUUUAUUGAUGUAUCAUGUUAUAGGGCAUCUAUAUUAUUCGUAUAUAUCAGAAGCAGGUAUCAAAUAUCAUGUAAACUAUCCCCUUAAUCCCUCCCGUCACGUGUAUCCAAGCAUAUAAAGUGUGUACGAUUGCGCCAUUUUCUGUACAUUAAGAAUGACUAGUCCAACAUUUUCUCAUAUUGUGCCAAAAUGUUCAUUCGUGGUUGUGAAAAUCAAAACAUGUAUGUGUAUAGAACUAUUUAUGAUAUUUUAAUAAAUGAUAUCCACAU
rnacentral:misc_RNA from 1 species